GAAGGCAAUUCGGUGGUUGCAACCUCCAAAGAUUCGCAGCUCUUGCAAGCCCUGACCCAGAGAAUGGCCGUCUUCCUUAAGUCCCGGCGGACAGUCACUCCUCACUGGCUGCAAAGAGGUGGUUCAAGAAAAAAAGAAGGCAUCACAAACUAUAGAAACUUCCCCAAGUCCUCCACGCCCCCUCCCCGCGCCCACACGGUCUUCUAGGAAAUUCGCUUCCCAGCCAAGCAGGAGGAUGCUCUUGUCUCAAAGUUGUGAUAGGUGGACACCUGCGGGUCACUUCAGGGCCGCCUGUCCUCCGAGCAGAGAAUGUCCACGUGUUGAAUCCAUUAUAUUUACUUCAGUAGCAGAGAUCACACCUGGAAUGUGUCCAACAUUUCAAAGAACCAGUGUCCAAUACAACAUUGGGAAAUGCUGAUCUGAGAAGACCUGAGUUUUUAAAAAAGGUCUUCUACUGAUUGGAUGAGGCCCACCCUCAUGAGGAAGGACAACCUGCUUCUCCCAGUCUGUCUGUCCAAGUGUUAACUUCAUCUGGAAGCUCACUCAACAGAAACACCCACAAUAAUAUCUGACCAAAUGUCUGGGCACCCUAUGGCCCCGUUAAGUUGAUAUAGUAAUUAAUCAUCACAACAUUACAAAUCUUAACAAUGUUAACAGUAUCUGACCAUAGAUGGAAAAGAACAUAUAACCCAAGUUAGAGUGGGGUGCACAGAGAAUUGUGUAGGGCUGCCACCCCAGGAGUAAUUCUUCACCUCGCAAGGCAUGCCUCUUAAGCCACUUGUAAAACUCUGUUAUUAAAAUUAUGGAUAUUUUUUCGUCCUUUUCUAAGAACUAUAAAGUCAUCCAUUUUCCCAGGGCUGUAAUAUAAUGUGAGCAGUAGGAUGAACAGGCUUCAGAAUUGGAGAGAUGAGCUCCGUGCUGCUUCAGCACUUGACUUGUGAAAUAUCUGAGGCCAGGAACUUCUGGUCUUUGAUUCUCAUUUUUUCCUUCUGUAAAAUAGGGACAAACUGUACCCGUCAGUCGUUGUACUGUUGAGAAGAGUGAAGAUAAUACAUACUUGAGCAUUUAGUAUGUGCUAGAUAAGUGGAAUUUGGUACUUACUUUCUACCAAAAAUUUAACACAACAGCCAAGGAAAUCACUUAAUUGACAUUAACCAGGAGGUUUACAUUCCUCACGUGGUGGGGAGAAGAGUGAGAGAGGCAGCUUUCUAGUAAUUGCUAAGCUGAAGAGAAGAGUUGAACACAAGUGCUGUCACUGUAAGAGUUUCUCUGAAGUGCCAGAUCAGUGGACAGAAGACAUAGCCCUGCUUCAGACUUGAGCCAGCCUCUCCUACUGCCUCCGUGACACUGGAGGGAGAGGCCAGGAGUGCGUCCACUACAUAAAAGAGUACACGGGGCAGAGAAGCAGGCAUGAUCUAUAUAAGAGAGACAGAUGUGACUUAAUGCUGUGCAAAGGGUCAAAGCAUCUUCUCAGCCACACAGUGAGACCAAGGUGUAUCUCCCGGUCUGUUUCUCACGUCUAGCAGUGGGCUGGUGCAUCAGUGAUCUGUAACAGCAAUGCAGGGUCUCUGCUCGUCCUGCCUCAGAGAACCACAGAAUUGGUUGGGAGAUGCAGUCCGCAUCGCCUAGACACCCCCUGGAACUGCUCUCAAUUCUCAUCCAUUUAAAGGAUGAAUCUAUCACUCUUCUCACUUGAAUUGCUGCAGUGCCUCCACUCGGAUCUUGCCUCCUCUGUGCAGUUUUAUUGAAUAUCCUCGGGGCUUCAAACCCAUGUGGGCAUUGGGCAUAUGAAGAUAAAUGGGUCACAGGGAAAGAAAGAAGUAACAAAUGUGGUAAGCGUCAAAACUGACAUGGUAAGAGUAUCAAGGAGGCAGGAAGGACAAUCUCAGACUUGCUCUCAGGGAGGAGGAGGACAAAGCAGAGGGGAGAGGAUGAAGGAAGACAUUCUGAUGGAUGUGGUACUGGAGGUGUUAAAGAAAAAACGAAAGAUGGUUACCGAAGAAGGUGAGGAAGACAUUUCCAAGAGAAAAAAAUGAUGGGAGAAAUACACUGAGGAGAGAGUGGCAACAUGGGGACAAUCGAGAUAAAUGAUGACAACAAUCUACAUUCGGCACCUACAUCCAUACCACAAAGCACAUCUUUCCGGACCUUUAAACCAGUACAUCAAAGAACAAUACUAUAUGGUGAAACUUCCAUUUCUGUUAACAGGUAAACAUUGAUAGGCAAGUAAAUGGUUAGAGACUCUCAACUUUUAUAGUUAUUUAGUGAUAUAACAAGCCUGAAGGUACUAGAAUUUAUAGUAAGUAAUUUAUAUAGUUAUUUCAUUCAGCGUUUAUAAUUUAACUUUGGUAAUAAUGACUGUUUA